CAAAAGCACUUCACAACCUCCUUGACGCAAGUUUUGACAUUUUUUCCCCCAAUUCAAGCCUUCGCGUUUUCCCCAAUGGGCAACAUUCUUAUUUUUCCCUGAUGCACUUCACUUCCGUUCCUCUCUACACUCUAGGUGUGUUCCCUCUCCCAGCCCCUUCUUUCCUUUCCUUGCUACGCCAUUAGGGUUCUUCAUCUCUGUAGUGCCGCCGGUGGAAUCAACCUUUAAUAGGGCAUCCUCUUUGGGGUUUCCUAGCCAUAGGAAGAAGAGGCAACAUGAGCAAUUUCUACAAUUUCUUCCGCAAGCCCAAGGACACAAAGAAUAUCCGCAAGAGAAAAAAAGUUGACUUCGAUGAGGAAGUCUCCAUCGAUGAUAUUUUGUCUUCCGAUCUAAAGAUGAAGAAGUUCGCCGAGCUUUCCUUCUCUUCGUCUUGCUCCGAGGUUGGCUCCCUGUUCCAGUUUGAUUCGUCCAUGGAGAUCUAGGUCAAGCAUGAUGAUAGUUGCACCAUGGUUGCACUCAAGAUGAAGAUCGAGUUCUCUAAGGAUGCCUGCACCAUCAGAGAGUGGGUGCUGAAGAGGGCAAAGGAGGCUCUCUAAGGGCAAGUAAGUCUGACAGAGGGGCGAUGAUAAGAUAUACAAAGGGAUCCACAGCAUCAUGCAAAGAAUAAGAAAUGUUUUGUCAGCAACAAACCAACUCUUGGCAUCUUUAAUACCACACGCGAGACACGAAAAAGAUGGCUGAAGAUACAUAAGAGGAGCUGACAAUGAUAUGUGUCAAACCAAAGGAUAAUCUAAAAUAAAAUGGUGGUUUUGAAUGUGGAUAUUGUGUAAUGCGGUACAUGAAAGAGAUAGUCUUAGAUGAAGAUCCACAAUUGGAGAGGAAGUUACCUUGCAGUUACCUUUACAAAUACUUGAAGAAAGAAAAAAGAGCUAAGUAUGUAUCAUUUGUGGAUCCUGGUCACAUACCUACAUGCGUUGUGGGUGAAGAAGGCAGUAAAUUGUCACAACAUAUUGCUGGUCAGUUGAGAGCAUCAAACAGAGAUAACAUUUGCUUCAUCCCAUAUAACAUUGGGUAAGAUUUUAAUUAUUUAUCAAUUCCUAUUAAAUACUAGUCAAUGUUAUAUUUUCAUUUGUACAAGUAUCAUUAGAUCUUGACUAUAAUUAAUGAAGAUAAGAAUAUGAUAUAUUUAUUGGACUCUUUGAGUAACCGGAACCGAGACUAUGCUUGACAAACUAUUAUGACCAAGUAAGUAGUAGAUUAUACUGAUUUUGAAUGCAUUCAAUUCAUUAUAGGUUGUAAAAAUAAUUUUCUAUUAUUUACAAUGUAGUGGGGGCAAGAUAUAUAAUGCAUCAAGGGGUAUUCAAAAGGACCAGGUUUUAAACAAUUGACAGUAUGUAUUGUGACUAUAUAUUUAGAUAAUAAUUAAUAAUUUUUAUUAUUUGGAUUGUGACUUCUUGCAUGAAUU